GUCCUGCCCUUCGGAAACAUCCGAUAAAAUUAGAACGAUACAAAGAAGAUUAGCAUGGCCUUGCCCAAGAAUGACACGCACAAAUCAAAAAAAGAAGAAGAUAAGU
rfam:Hordeum vulgare subsp. vulgare, WGS project CAJW01000000 data, contig: morex_contig_368490